UAAGUAAGUUAGAUAGUCGCCCCGCAGUACUGCGGGGAGGAAAGUCCGGGCAUCAUAAACCUGCCGUCGCGCUUCGCGCUAUGGCAAGGCAAGAAAGGUGGUGGAUAAUGUCCACCGUUCGUAAGAAUAGGGAAAGUGCCACAGAGACUAUGUUUCUCCAUUUUAGGGGUAAUCUCCUAAAAAGGGGUAAAAGUGAAAAGUAGAGGAGUAAGACCCUCUUUCCCACAGGGAGACCUGUCGGGAUGGUAAACCCCACCUGAUGCAAGAGCAAAUCUCGACUUUUUAUGUUGAGACAAAAGUAGCUCGCUUGAGGCUAAUGGUAACAUUAGUCCUAGAUAAAUGACUAUCCAAGACAGAACCCGGCUUAUUGCUUACUUGGGUU
rnacentral:RNase_P_RNA from 1 species